AAAAUGGCAAUAAUUACCUCAAACGUGGGCAUUCAUCCUGGUUUUAGCCUUUUUUGAAAUCAUGUAGCCAGCUUGAUCUUGAGAUUUAAAAGACUGAAUUCUGUGUGGGCUGAAAAUAUUGAUUAAUGCACACCCUGGUUGUUGUUGCUUAAGUGAAUUCUAACAAAAGUUCAUCUUUAGAGAAGAAAUUAAACCAAGGAAGGGAUGAUUCUCUGCGUAUUGUAAUUAAAUGUGAUGUUCCAGUAUACCCACGCACAGCAUAUAUAUUCUUAGCUACUGUAAAAUGCUGUUAGCCUUCUGAGAUACCAAGAGUCUCACUUUAAACAAGUAAACUAAGUAAAUGACUCUGGAUACUUAAGCAUAUUUCUGGCUACGUUUUAUAGUUAAAGUGUUUUAUAGUUUACAUUUAAACUGGUACUUUUUAAAGAAAAUUCCUGUUUCUAACUGACAUCUCCAAACCCCAGCAAUUGCCUCUACAGGAGGAGGCCGUGUAUCCCCAAGUCACCUUUGUUCUACCUAUACUGUCCUGUGGCCCAGUGUGUGCAUUUCCCUCCAUAACGCUGGUUUCCAGGCGAGCUAGAGAGAAUGUGAAAGGAAGUCGGGAUGGGGUGGGAAGGGUCAGACCCCAGCUCUGGCCGGCUGGGGUCUCAUGCCGUGUUGGAUCCACGCUUGUCUGCAGGCCUCUGACACCUUGGAAGAGGCAGCAAAAACUGACCCCUGGUCCAUUGAUUUUUUUCUUGAUUUGAAUAUUUCACUUGUUCAUAGAUCUACUCGCUUCCAUUCACCAGGCAAUAGAAGACACUGGGAUUCAGGUGGCCCCAGAGAUCCAGCUGCUAUUUCCUGGGCCACCAGUGAUAUUCUGAGCAAUGUCGAAAAGAAGAACAAUACACCUCCAUGCCUGUAUUCAUUGGCUGGGGUUUUUGUAUAUCUGCUGUCUUACUCAUUCUCUCCUUUAAACAAAAAUCAGUGCAAAAGGACGUGUCUACUUUUCACGCAUGGUCAAGCUGAGAUGUGAGGCCCAGUUCAGUGAGCGUGAAAAGUAGGUUCAGUUCAGAGACUGAGCUGCUGAGCCCAAGGAUCUGAAGAAGGAGGAGCCCAGGCCGGUCCCCCAAGGCCUGGUGCACAGAGAGGGCUUGUGACAAUGAGAGAGCUUAGGGCAGGCUGGGAAGUGCUGUUUUCCUUAAGUCUUGUUUGGUUUUUAUUUUCUCUUGUGCCACCACCGGACUGUGGAGGACCUGCUGUGACCUCAGGUGCGAUUCAUUCCUCUAACAGAUGCGACCUUGAGAACUGCAGCACACUCAGGACCAGGGAGCUCUCUGUUCACAUCGUACCUUGGAUUUCUCCCUGUGGGCCACAGGGACACCAGGGUCUUGUUUGGCUUUCUUUGUUAGAAUUGUUGCUAUGGAGUGCUCUUCCUCUCGCCCUCUUAACUGUCCUCCCACCUUUGUGUGUGCUCGUGUGUGUGUGUGCACGCGUGUGCUUUUCCUUUGCACUAAUUAACCAAAUGAAUUUUGUGUCAUUGUCUUUGGGGCUCAUCUAUAUUUUUAAAAACUAGAGGUAUAGAAAUUGGCUCUUUUUAUUGUUUGAAAAGUAUGUUUUAAAGAGGGCUCUGGUAUUGCUCUUUCUAGUUCCCUUUCAACCAAGUCUCCAAAUGAAUCUCUCCUGGCACCGCCCCCCAGUUUUCCUUGUGUUGGGUCACUGUCCCUGUGGCCACCUCAGCCUCCACCUGCUGUCACCACAGCCCCGUGCCCAGGCACCCAGGACUUCCGAGAAGCUUGAGAGCCAGGCCGAAAGGCCCUUUGCCUGCUGUCAGAGAGCCACCCACUGGGCUCCAGGGACACUGGGUUAUUACUGUUGAGUCACCUGGCUCAGGUGGGAAGGAGGAACUUGGGAAGUGAAGUCCCUUUGUGCACUGCCCACCCCCCUUGUCUCUGUGUCCCUGCUUAUUUAAAGCUUGCUUUUUUCCAUGCUUUCCCAGGGCAUAACCAUUUCAGGCCCCCAAAGCAUCUCUUCACCCUCUUCACGUGCGUUUUUUUAACCAAAUGAAAUAAAGGAGAAAGGCACACUCUGGGGCAGCAGAAGCCCUAGUUAGUAGAAUCACUGUGUAGACAGAGUUGUUGAUAUAUAUGUCUGUGGAUAUAUAUCAAACCAAAUUCUGGUAGGAGAAGAUAGCUUUACGGCUGAGGGGAAGCGGAGCCCUGUAGAGGUCGGAGCCAGCCUUAGCAUGGGCAUCCCUGCUCCUUCACACAUGGGCCAGGUGGCCCUUGUCCCUCUCACCACAGUGGAGCUGGGUCCUGAGGGGGCCACCGCUCUCUGGUCCCCAGCAUCAAGGACAUGGAUGAGGAAGAGGUGGCAGCCGAUCAGAAUGACUGGAAUUUUCCAGGCUGUUUUCCUUCGACCACACAUACUGAGCUGCAGCCCGAUAGUAUAUCACAUUUCCAGAAAUGAUACCCAUUAGGAUGGAAAGAGAACAGAUCUGUAGAAAUGUUUACCUUCCAGCUGCCCAUGAAUUCAGGACACUCUGGACAGACAGGCACACUCGCCAGAAAGCCAGCGGGAAAGAGGAAGCCUGGUGACACCCGGUCCCCAGCCCUAGGUACAUGGCUCCCUCCUGGUCACCUCACCCAGCUCUUUCUCUACCGGGUCAUCUUAGCUCAAUCUCAGUAACCCCAUGAAGCCCUGGUCCGUUGUGUUUCUCACUGUACGGUUUCUGUAAUAAAAAGUGUUAAUCCAUGUUAAUCUGUGUGAAAAUUAUUGCGUGCAACAGUAUUUUCUUGUGUACCUCUUUUCCCUCUGUGAAUUGUCCCUCUUUUCUUUUUUAUUUAUAAAUGUCUACUUUUUUAAAGACAAACCAAUGUGUUGUAGACCUCUGUGUAACUAUUCCUUAGUCUCAUAUUAUAGGUAUGUUAUAAGAAUGGAUAUUUUACUUGGCUUUAGAAUGUUUUACAAGAAAACUAAUUCUUAACUGAUCAAGUCCUUGCUACUAAAAUGCUUGUGUUUUUUCAUCAUGAUGUCGUGUGCUUCUAAAUUAAUCAUUUUCGUUGUAGAAAAAUGGAGUGAAUUUAUAUUAGUCUUGGAAACUAAUAGCAUUGUAAAUUUAUGAGAUGAUUUUAACAGAAAAAAUUAUAGAAGAAUAUAGUUAUUUUAAUUGUAAUAUUACUAACUGUAGGGUGAGAAACGGGGUCCUGUUGUGGUGAACUAUGUUAUAGCUUGUUACAGUUUCUUUUGAUCAUUUUUUCGGUCUCUGAGGUGAAACGAGUUAUUAAUUAAAAUUUGUAAACUCACAUAUGCAUAUUGUAUAUGUGUAGAAAUGUAAUCACACUUCGUCUUGGAAUUACAUUAAACUGUUUGGAAUCACUGGACA
rnacentral:lncRNA from 1 species